GGGGAAUAUUGGACAAUGGGCGCAAGCCUGAUCCAGCCAUGCCGCGUGGGUGAAGAAGGCCUUCGGGUUGUAAAGCCCUUUUGUUGGGAAAGAAAAGCAGCCGGCCAAUACCCGGUUGUUCUGACGGUACCCAAAGAAUAAGCACCGGCUAACUUCGUGCCAGCAGCCGCGGUAAUACGAAGGGUGCAAGCGUUACUCGGAAUUACUGGGCGUAAAGCGUGCGUAGGUGGUGGUUUAAGUCCGUUGUGAAAGCCCUGGGCUCAACCUGGGAACUGCAGUGGAUACUGGAUCACUAGAGUGUGGCAGAGGGUAGUGGAAUUCCGAGUGUAGAGGUGAAAUUCGUAGAUAUUCGGAAGAACACCAGUGGCGAAGGCGGCUCACUGGCUCGGUACUGACGCUGAGGUGCGAAAGCGUGGGGAGCAAACA
rnacentral:rRNA from 1 species